rnacentral:tRNA from 2 species
GUCUCCAUCGUCUAGUAGUUAGGACAACAGGCUUUCAAUCUGUUAACACGGGUGCAAUUCCCGUUGGAGAUG